rnacentral:rRNA from 1 species
GACGAACGCUGGCGGCGUGCCUAAUACAUGCAAGUUGAGCGCUGAAGGUUGGUACUUGUACCGACUGGAUGAGCAGCGAACGGGUGAGUAACGCGUGGGGAAUCUGCCUUUGAUCGGGGGACAACAUUUGGAAACGAAUGCUAAUACCGCAUAAAAACUUUAAACACAAGUUUUAAGUUUGAAAGAUGCAAUUGCAUCACUCAAAGAUGAUCCCGCGUUGUAUUAGCUAGUUGGUGAGGUAAAGGCUCACCAAGGCGAUGAUACAUAGCCGACCUGAGAGGGUGAUCGGCCACAUUGGGACUGAGACACGGCCCAAACUCCUACAGGAGGCAGCAGUAGGGAAUCUUCGGCAAUGGACGAAAGUCUGACCGAGCAACGCCGAGUGAGUGAGGAGGGUUGUCGGAUCGUAAAACUCUGUUGGCAGAGAAGAACGUUGGUGAGCGUGGAAAGCUCAUCAAGUGACGGUAACUACCCAGAAAGGGACGGCUAACUACGUG